AAAAACCAAGGUGCUAUCCAGGGUAACAUGUUGAUAGGAAAAGUUAUCAAAGUCUGUGCACCUAUAGCUGGAAGUAUUAUCGUUGAAGUCUGAAGACGAAAACUCAGUAAAAAAGAAAGAAAAAGGAAGUUUAAGCAGUGUGAAUAUAACACUACGAUCUGAAAUAUGACAACUUUGAAGAUUUACAACGGUGCAGAACUGGCUGCAAAUGACCAUGUGGAACAUUUUAAAAUGACCAGACAACAGUUCUCGCCCAAGAAACGUUUAACGGGACAGCUAAGUUCGUCAAGUGACAAAAGCAGCGGAAGCUGCGCAUUUAGCUCUGGACAAGAGAGCAAGACGUCUUCCUCCGAUAACUUGAACGGAAGUGAGAGUAUGUGUUCUUUAGACCGAGAUACCAUGGACAGAUGCAUGCAAUGGUUAAAAGGUCUGCCUACAAAGUUCUCUGCUAUUCAUGUGCAAUGAACACCUGCUUCAGAGAACUGUUGCAAUAAUGUGUCAAAUCAACAUUUUUGCCAUACUUAACUCAGGCUAUUUCAUUUAUUUUCAUUCGGGAGAAAUGCAAUAUUUGUAUUUUUUCUUCGUAUCGUAUCUAAAAUCUUGAAUGGAGAUUUCAGUUUUUAUAUUGAUGUUUUAUACAUUUAUUCGCAAUAAAUUGUCUAUGCCUU
rnacentral:sRNA from 1 species